UUGGAGUCUCUCCUGCUGAGGACACGUCAUCAAAUAAGUGAACCACAGCUUGCCACGUGUCCUCCUCACACUACAAAAACUCGAUCUUCGUUUGGGUUGCGGAAGGGCUUUUACACAAGUGAGCUAUCUUAGUAUUGGGCCGGAAAAUCAUCAGACACUUAAGCCCGUUAGACGCCUUCGCUUUGUCGACGUGAAGCCGACUUUAGUUUCUAAGUUUCAUUGUCGUCUCAGAAAGCUGAUUAGGUAUAACAUCAAUGGAGAUUCUCAAAGUUUCAGAGAGAUGAGUCUUCUUCAUU
rnacentral:lncRNA from 1 species